rnacentral:SRP_RNA from 1 species
GCUGGGCGCAGUGGCGCGUGCCUGUAGUCCCAACUACUCAGGAGGCUGAGGUUGGAGGAUCGCUUGAGUCCAGGAGUUCUGGGCUGUAGUGCGUUAUGCUGAUUGGGUGUCUACACUAAGUUCAGCAUCAAUAUGGUGACCUCCCGGGAGCGGGGGACCACCAGGUUGCCUAAGGAGGGGUGAACCGGCCCAGGUCGGAAACGGAGCAGGUCAAAACUCCCGUGCUAAUCAGUAGUGGGAUCGCGCCUGUGAACAGCCACUGCACUCCAGCCUGGGCAACAUAGCAAGACCCUGUCUCU